UGGUUUCGCCUGGGAUCAAACUGGGGACCUUUUGCGUGUAAAGCAAACGUGAUAACCACUACACUAUGAUAUGAAUGUC